GUAAAGAGAGCCCUAUUUAGGCUUUCUUUAUUGCAAGUUCUGUUUAAUUAAGAUUUUCUUAUCCCCUGCUAUGUUAAUAGCUUGCUAGACCCUGCAAGAGCCUCCUGUAUGUGAUUAAAGUUUAAUUUAGAGAUUGAGAUACAAUUAUUUAAGGUAAAUUACAUCUGUUUGAAAGUGAAACCAGUUUUUUUUUUCAUGCAGGCUCUGUCAAUCAUAGCCAGGGGAGGUGUGGCUAGG